rnacentral:rRNA from 1 species
CCUACGGGCGGCAGCAGUGGGGGAUAUUGCACAAUGGGCGCAACCCUGAUGCAGCGAAGCAGCGUGAAUGAAGAAGUAUCUCGGUAUGUAAAGCUCUAUCAGCAGGGGAGUAAAUGACAGUACCUGACCCAGAAACCCCGGCUAACUACGUGCCAGCAGCCGCGGUAAUACGUAGGGGGAAAGCGUUAUCCGGAUUUACUGGGUGUAAAGGCAGCGUAGACGGGGCUGUAAGUCUGGAGGGAAAGCCCGGGGCUCAACCCCGGGACUGCUUUGGAAACUGGGGAACUUGAGUGCAGGAGGGGCAGGCGGAAUUCCUGGUGUAGCGGUGAAAUGCGUAGAUAUCAGGAGGAACACCGGGGGCGAAGGC